AGUGAACGCUGGCGGUAGGCCUAACACAUGCAAGUCGAACGGCAGCACAGGAGAGCUUGCUCUCUGGGUGGCGAGUGGCGGACGGGUGAGGAAUACAUCUGAAUCUGCCCAGUCGUGGGGGAUAACGUAGGGAAACUUACGCUAAUACCGCAUACGACCUUCGGGUGAAAGAGGGGGAUCGCAAGACCUCUCUCGAUUGGAUGAGCCGAUGUCGGAUUAGCUAGUUGGCGGGGUAAUGGCCCACCAAGGCGACGAUCCGUAGCUGGUCUGAGAGGAUGAUCAGCCACACUGGAACUGAGACACGGUCCAGACUCCUACGGGAGGCAGCAGUGGGGAAUAUUGGACAAUGGGCGCAAGCCUGAUCCAGUCAUACCGCGUGGGUGAAGAAGGCCUUCGGGUUGUAAAGCACUUUUGUUGGGAAAGAAAUCUUUCAGGCUAAUACCCUGGGAGGAUGACGGUACCCAAAGAAUAAGCACCGGCUAACUUCGUG
rnacentral:rRNA from 1 species